GUAGGUGGCAAGCGUUGUCCGGAAUUAUUGGGCGUAAAGCGCGCGCAGGCGGUUCUUUAAGUCUGAUGUGAAAGCCCACGGCUCAACCGUGGAGGGUCGUUGGAAACUGGAGAACUUGAGUACAGAAGAGGAAAGCGAAAUUCCACGUGUAGCGGUGAAAUGCGUAGAGAUGUGGAGGAACACCAGUGGCGAAGGCGGCUUUCUGGUCUGUAACUGACGCUGAGGCGCGAAAGCGUGGGGAGCAAACAGGGAUUAGAUACCCUGGUAGUCCACGCCGUAAACGAUGAGUGCUAAGUGUUAGGGGGUUUCCCGCCCCUUAGUGCUGCAGCUAACGCAUUAAGCACUCCGCCUGGGGAGUACGGCCCGCAAGGCUG
rnacentral:rRNA from 1 species